rnacentral:rRNA from 1 species
AACGAACGCUGGCGGCAUGCCUAACACAUGCAAGUCGAACGAGACCUUCGGGUCUAGUGGCGCACGGGUGCGUAACGCGUGGGAACCUGCCCUUAGGUUCGGAAUAACUCCCCGAAAGGGGUGCUCAUACCGGAUAAUGUCUUCGGACCUAAGAUUUAUGGCCUUUGGAUGGGCCCGCGUUGGUUUAGCGAGUUGGUAGGGUAAAAGCCUACCAAGGCGACGUUCCAUAGCUGGUCUGAGAGGAUGAUCAGCCACACUGGGACUGAGACACGGCCCAGACUGCGACGGGAGGGAGCAGUGGGGAGUAUUAGACAAUGGGCGAAAGCCUGAUACAGCAAUGCCGCGUGAGUGAUGAAGGCCUUAGGGUUGUAAAGCUCUUUUACCCGAGAUGAUAAUGACAGUACCGGGAGAAUAAGCUCCGGCUAACUCCGUG